UGACGAGCGGCGGACGGGUGAGUAAUGUCUGGGAAACUGCCUGAUGGAGGGGGAUAACUACUGGAAACGGUAGCUAAUACCGCAUAACGUCUACGGACCAAAGUGGGGGACCUUCGGGCCUCAUGCCAUCAGAUGUGCCCAGAUGGGAUUAGCUAGUAGGUGGGGUAAUGGCUCACCUAGGCGACGAUCCCUAGCUGGUCUGAGAGGAUGACCAGCCACACUGGAACUGAGACACGGUCCAGACUCCUACGGGAGGCAGCAGUGGGGAAUAUUGCACAAUGGGCGCAAGCCUGAUGCAGCCAUGCCGCGUGUGUGAAGAAGGCCUUCGGGUUGUAAAGCACUUUCAGCGAGGAGGAAGGGUUCAGUGUUAAUAGCACUGUGCAUUGACGUUACUCGCAGAAGAAGCACCGGCUAACUCCGUGCCAGCAGCCGCGGUAAUACGGAGGGUGCAAGCGUUAAUCGGAAUUACUGGGCGUAAAGCGC
rnacentral:rRNA from 1 species